rnacentral:misc_RNA from 1 species
GAUGAAGAACGCAGCAAAAUGCGAUAAGUAAUGUGAAUUGCAGAAUUCAGUGAAUCAUCGAAUCUUUGAACGCACAUUGCGCCCGCCAGUAUUCUGGCGGGCAUGCCUGUUCGAGCGUCAUUUCAACCCUCAAGCACAGCUUGGUGUUGGGACUCGCGUUAAUUCGCGUUCCCCAAAUUGAUUCGCGGUCACGUCGAGCUUCCAUAGCGUAGUAGUAAAACCCUCGUUACUGGUAAUCGUCGCGGCCACGCCGUUAAACCCCAACUUCUGAAUGUUGACCUCGGAUCAGGUAGGAAUACCCGCUGAACUUAAGCAUAUCAAUAAGCGGAGGA